AACGAGAGAGAAGGAGCUUGCUUCUUCGAUCGAGUGGCGAGCGGGUGAGUAACGCGUGAGGAACCUGCCUCAAAGAGGGGGACAACAGUUGGAAACGACUGCUAAUACCGCAUAAGCCCACGGGUCGGCAUCGACCUGAGGGAAAAGGAGUGAUCCGCUUUGAGAUGGCCUCGCGUCCGAUUAGCUAGUUGGUGAGGUAAUGGCCCACCAAGGCGACGAUCGGUAGCCGGACUGAGAGGUUGAACGGCCACAUUGGGACUGAGACACGGCCCAGACUCCUACGGGAGGCAGCAGUGGGGAAUAUUGCACAAUGGGGGAAACCCUGAUGCAGCGACGCCGCGUGGAGGAAGAAGGUCUUCGGAUUGUAAACUCCUGUUGUUGAGGAAGAUAAUGACGGUACUCAACAAGGAAGUGACGGCUAACUACGUGCCAGCAGCCGCGGUAAAACGUAGGUCACAAGCGUUGUCCGGAAUUACUGGGUGUAAAGGGAGCGCAGGCGGGAAGACAAGUUGGAAGUGAAAUCUAUGGGCUCAACCCAUAAACUGCUUUCAAAACUGUUUUUCUUGAGUAGUGCAGAGGUAGGCGGAAUUCCCGGUGUAGCGGUGGAAUGCGUAGAUAUCGGGAGGAACACCAGUGGCGAAGGCGGCCUACUGGGCACCAACUGACGCUGAGGCUCGAAAGUGUGGGUAGCAAACAGGAUU
rnacentral:rRNA from 1 species